rnacentral:misc_RNA from 1 species
CUGUGAAUAUAUACUAGUUUUUGGUUUAUCUAUAUAAUUAAUUUUACUGCAUUCAUAUGAAUGGCACUAGCUACAAUGCUUUCGACAUUAUAAUUUUGUACUAUGGAAUGAAUUCUAUUCCCAUACAGCUUGGAAGUUUUUUUGAAAAUUUCUAUGGUCUUAGUUGUAUUCUUUAGUGUAAGCCACUUUACUUUGUAAGCUUCUAUUAUGGAAGCUCCUUCCAUGCAUGAAAUUUUGAGUGAUAAUGUUUACCUUUUCAUUUAUGGAGAGAAAUAUAUAUGUAAAAUAGUGAAAGAUGGGAUUUAAUAAGACGAUUAUUGGAGAUGUUCAUGGGAUUGAGAGAUCUUGGAGGAUGUUAAUGUAGAAUUAAGCAAAUAAAAUGGAUAAGUGAUUCAAUGUUAUCGCAAAUUUGCUAUUCUACCAAUAAUUAUGGAAAUGAAGGGGAACGUUUUUAAUGUUGCUAUAUUGAGCUUUGUGGUUAAAAAAAAAAAAAAA